AUUGAACGCUGGCGGCAGGCCUAACACAUGCAAGUCGAGCGGAUGACAGGAGCUUGCUCCUGAAUUCAGCGGCGGACGGGUGAGUAAUGCCUAGGAAUCUGCCUGGUAGUGGGGGACAACGUUUCGAAAGGAACGCUAAUACCGCAUACGUCCUACGGGAGAAAGCAGGGGACCUUCGGGCCUUGCGCUAUCAGAUGAGCCUAGGUCGGAUUAGCUAGUUGGUGAGGUAAUGGCUCACCAAGGCGACGAUCCGUAACUGGUCUGAGAGGAUGAUCAGUCACACUGGAACUGAGACACGGUCCAGACUCCUACGGGAGGCAGCAGUGGGGAAUAUUGGACAAUGGGCGAAAGCCUGAUCCAGCCAUGCCGCGUGUGUGAAGAAGGUCUUCGGAUUGUAAAGCACUUUAAGUUGGGAGGAAGGGCAKUAACYUAAUACGUURSUGUUUUGACGUUACCGACAGAAUAAGC
rnacentral:rRNA from 1 species